CCUGCUCCGUCUGGUUGCGCUCCAGGUCCUCGAGAACCCUGCAGAGAAAAGACUUGCCUCACCUUAUGCAACAGUGAGUGGGUGCUGGACACCCGACAUCCGUGGUGCCUCAGUAUGAUCAGCGGGCCAUCGUGAGAAAUAUGUCAGAAGGUGAAACCUAUCUGGAGGACAAAAUGCUCCUCUGGAAAAAGUUGUGAGAGGAACAACUGAUACUUGUACAGCAAGGGGAGCAACGGAGCACUUCUCAACCCCUUGACUGUGGACUUCCUGCCAGAAGACAUCACCAGGAUACAGAAAUGGAACAAAGAGUGGCUGCUACAAUUUAAUAUAGAAGAAUGUAUUCCUGCACCUUGGGAGGGGAUAUCCAGCACACCGAUACCACAUGGGAAACACUCCACUAUCCACCACAGAGGCAGGGAAAGACCUGGGAGUAUGGGUUACCAGGCUACCAGUGAAAGCCAAAUCCGUGCCAAUCGCAGCGGACGUGUUAAAGGGAUUGAAGAGACAAAGGAGGUAAGGAAAAGGCAUCUCAAUUCAUGAGGAAAGAGAAGUGACCAGUAUGGAAGUAAAGAUUCAAGUGGAACAACCGCAUCAUACCUACAAGGGGAAGUGUAGAGGAGAUAGACAUGGCAAUAGAAAAGUUAAGAGAGAGAGAGAGAGUGAGUUGGUUGGUUGGCAAAAGAUAUGUGCGGUGAGAGGGCCUGCCAAGACGAGGAAGCCUGGAGGAGCCUCUUCUGCCACGGCGCUCCAUUCAGGGGUGGCUGUGUGAGGGGACAGUGUCAGAGAAAUAGAUGCAAAAGGAAAAUGGUUUGUAUACUGAAAACUUCAUAAAGGCUUACUGUUUCUGCUC